CCUACGGGUGGCAGCAGUGGGGGAUAUUGCACAAUGGGGGAAACCCUUAUGCAGCGACGCCGCGUGGGUGAAGAAGCUCCUCGGCGCGUAAAGCCCUGUCAGCAGGGAAGAAAAUGACGGUACCUGCCGAAGAAUCCCCGGCUACCUACGUCCCAGCAGCCGCGGUCAUACGAAGGGUGCGAGCGUGAAUCGGAGUUACUGGGCGAAAGGCGCUCGUAGGCGGUAUGUCAGGUCAAGGGUGAAAUCCCCGCGCUCAACGUGGGAACUGCCUUUGAAACUGGCAAACUGGAGUGUGUGAGAGGAUAGUGGAAUUCCAGGUGUAGGAGUGAAAUCCGUAGAUAUCUGGAGGAACAUCAGUGGCGAAGGCGACUAUCUGGAAUAUAACUGACGCUGAGGAGCGAAAGCGUGGGUAGCAAACAGGAUUAGAUACCCCAGUAGUC
rnacentral:rRNA from 1 species